GACAGACACAAUGCGUAAUAAUAUUUCAAAUAUAAUAAAUAGCUGUUAAAUAAGAAUUUAACUAGUUACAAAUGUUUAAAUCUUUUAAUAAUCAAAAUAUCUAAAUACUAAAUAACAUAACAUAAUUAGGAAAUCGGUUGCUCAACACAUUUAUUUUUUCCAGGUGAAAAUACUGAUGAAGAAAGGGUAGUGCCCCCAAAGAUCUAUUUGAGUGAUCCUGAAAAACAUUCCCACUUAAAAAACCUAAUUAAACUCUAAAUAAGUGCGUGUCAUAAAAUAGGAUUAAAUAUUUUGGCAACAGUUUGCGAUCAGGGAGCUGCUAAUCAAGCUGAUAUAAAUAGUUUGAUUGAAGACAAAAAUAUUUUUUGCAAUCAAAAUGGAAUUAAAAAUAAGUAUUUUGGAUUAUUGGUUGCUAACAAAGAAAUUAUUCCCUUAUAUGAUUCACCUCAUCUUCUAAAAGGAUUACGAAACAAUUUAUUGAGUAAAGACCUGCAUUUCAAUCUAAAUGGUAAAGCAUGUGUUGCUAAAUGGGAACACAUUGAUUUGCAAUUUUAUUUUUUGGAUAUGGAAGAACAGGAUAAAAGUAGGAGCACUUAUGAAGAAAAUCAUUGCCUGGAAAAUAACAAUUUUUAUAAUCUGAUGUAAAACUGAACGCCGACACUGGGGACACUGCAGCCCCAAUCCUGUUUUAGAUAAACUUUUUGAUAGCCUGAACUCAGUCAGAAAGUAAGUUUACCUGGAAACCCAUUAAAAUCAGCUGUAACGUCUAACUCAAUACAUAUCGCUUUUUGGUGUGAGUCCAUAGCAGUCUUUAAUUCAAUGAAAUUCUUUUGCCGAAAAAAGAAUAAAUUUGUUGUGGUCCUAUCAAUUAAAAACCUUAUUUACACUCUUACAGGUAUGAUUCAUUUGUUAAAAAAUAUCUUUAUAGUUUAUAAACACAAAUAUAUUGUUACAAGAGUUUUGCAACAAAAUGCACUGGGAAAUAUAUUCAGUUGCAUCAGAAGUUAUAGUGGAAGAGAAAAUUCUACCAGUGCCUCUCAUUUUUGUAAUUCUUUUAAAGCGCUGUUAACAAAUAAUUUGAUGUCUACGCACUCACCAGGCGCCAAUUGUGAAGAAGACAAAAGUGAGGGUCCUUUGGAAAAUUUAAGACAAUUUUGAUUGGGUAGUAAUUUACCUUCUGGUAUAGCAUACCUAGAAGAUACUGAUGAGACCACAACAAAUAUCCCAAAAGAAGUAGUUUUACCCGGACGAUCAAAAAUUACUAGAUCCACGUUAACUUAUAUAGCAUAUAGCAGGCUUCAUUUUUAAAAAAACUUAAUUGUGAAAAUUGCUAGUAAAUCUGUCAUUUAGGGAUAUUUGAUGUGUACAGUAUCCCUAUCUUAGUCUAUCUUGAUUUUAUCGAAGUAAGGCAGUACUCUAAAUGCAAAUUGACUAUACCAGGAGCAUACUUUUCAUUUUUAAUUGGCCAUUCACUCCCCAGAUUGUUUGUUUUUAAUUCCAAGAUUAUGUCACAAACUAAAUAUAAGUAAGAUGUUAAGCAUAAUUUUAGAAAAGCAAUUAAAUUUUAAUUUAAUAAAUUGUUCACAACACAAUGAUACUGAUAAACUCCUUAUUUCUAUUAUUGUUAGAUGUUGUUUAUAUUUUUGGUGUAGGAGAAUAAACUUGGUUACUAAGGGUACAUAUGAUAGAAGCCAAAUAAAAAUUUAAUUCACCCCAUAAAAUUACAGGUUUAUUCAAAGUACCAAAAUAACAUUAAAAGGAGCAAAUCUAAUCCAAAACAUUUAUAUAAACCUUUGUAACCAAUUUUAAUAAUUAUGUUUGUUUUUAUAUUUUAAAAUUUGUUAUAUUUGCAUUUUCUCGGAAAAUAUUAUUAUUGAUGCUUCAUGUAAAGGUAAACUUGUAACAGCGCGUUCCAAGUAAAAAUCAAAUGAUGGUAAAAAUGAUGAAAAUGUAACAACCAAUCCAGAGUAAAAUACCCACAUUUUGUUAAUAGAAAAAAUAUACAAGGAAUUAUUUUGUAGACAUACUUUGUGGUAAGAUAUUAAAUGGUGCAUGUGAUAUUAAUUUUAUUGGCAAUCUACAAUUUAUUUAAAUACACUUAAUUAACCAAUUACCUUGUCCUCAGUUUUAUCAUAUCAUAUUAUCUAAAAGGAAGACACCAGAAAAUUAAAAUAGAAAAGUUCUUGUUUUCCGAAAUAAGAGUUACUUCUGGGAGUUUCCGUGGAUGGCUCAUUCUCAAAUCUUACCGCUUCUUUUUCAUAUUUUCCUUAAUGGUGUUUAAAAUUUAAUUAGCUUCCUUAAUUUUGCUAUUGAUUAAAAUAUUUUCAGAAUAAUUAAAGAUAUAAAUGAUUAGCACAUGCUUCAAAACAAACUAAAAUAAGUUUCUCAAUUGUGCAUACUAAAUAUUGAUAAAUAUAAGAAUAUGUCAUUUGACAAAUCUAAGAGUCCUUUUAAAUUUAGUAAUAAAAUUAAUAUUUAAGAUGUUGAAAAGAGAGUAUUCAUUGUCUGGGAUUUGGAUGUUUUCUAGAUAUACCUACAUAGGACUAAAGUUUAACAAAUAAACACACUGAGAGAAUUUCAAAUAGAACAAUGAUUGGGUUUUGUUUUUUGAGAAAUUUGAAAGGCUUGAACAAUAUAUGUAUCUAUAGUUGGAAAUGUCUAUUCUGCAGUAGUUAGACCAGUAGUUGAGUAUGACAAUCUUAUUUGCUCUCCAUUUUAUGAAAAUAAUAAAAUAGAGAUUUUUAAGAAAUAUAUCUUACAGAUUGGAUCUUAUAGAUUUACUAACAAUGUUUUAAAUUAUUUAAUAAUAGAUAUUAUAUUAAAUAUUAGCUUGCUAAAUUCUAAGAAAAAAAUUAAGCAUUUAUAAAUAUAAGAAAUAAACUAAUAUGUCUUUUUUUGUUUACUGUGUGUUGAACUAUUUUAAUAGAUAUUAAAUUGAUGUUAAAGUGCUAUUGGGGUUAAGUAUAUUUUUACAAUGGGAUAUUUUAUCACUUGUGCCUAACAAUGUAAAAUGACAAAGUCGUUCGUUCUUUUUGAGCACACUGUAUUGCUUAUUUCCAAUUAAUUUUCCUUAUUUUCUAAUGUAAUAUGUAUUUAUUUUACUUUAUAUUAUUUAUGUAAGUUAUUGUUGGUUGGCAAAUAAAUUUUUGUUAAAAUGUAAUAAAGUGUUAUUUUUGUCAUCAAUUUCAGUACAGGGUACAGAUUCCGAACUUCUCGAAACGAUACGAGAAUGCAGUUAAGCUUCUAGAGGGGGAU